ACUUUCUCUGUGUCUGGAUAACUUUGGCACUUUCUCUCACCAGUAAGCUAGCUUUACAGUGUUAAGAAUUGUGAUGAUCUGCUUACUAGAUUUCUAUAGCACCUUCCCUUCUCUCUCAGCAAUUUUACAUUAAUAUUAAUACUAUGGGGGGAAGGAGCCUGCUUUCCAAGAGCUGAAGUUCUUCAGCUGAUCCAUCCCAGCCACAGUGUUUCUCAUUUCCAUGUCUCAGCCCCCACGCCUGUAAUGCUCAUCUACCAUCUUUGCCUGGUUAACUGCUAGCCUCAAACAUCACCUCCUCCAUAAUGUUAACAGCCUGUACUAUAUG
rnacentral:lncRNA from 1 species